rnacentral:rRNA from 1 species
UACGUAGGGGGCAAGCGUUGUCCGGAAUCAUUGGGCGUAAAGCGCGUGUAGGCGGUUCAGUAAGUCUGCUGUGAAAGUCCAGGGCUCAACCCUGGGAUGCCGGUGGAUACUGCUGGGCUAGAGUACGGAAGAGGCGAGUGGAAUUCCCGGUGUAGCGGUGAAAUGCGCAGAUAUCGGGAGGAACACCGAUUGCGAAGGCAGCUCGCUGGGACGUUACUGACGCUGAGACGCGAAAGCGUGGGGAGCAAACAGG